rnacentral:tRNA from 2 species
GCCCGGGUGGCGGAAUUGGCAGACGCGACGGACUCAAAAUCCGUUUCCUUCGGGAGUGCGGGUUCGACCCCCGCCCCGGGUACCA